UGGUAAACCAUCAGUCUCUUCUAAAACAGCAGAAACAUAAGAGAGAGCAAAAUUAGGUGGCUGAGAGCAAAAUCAGUAGAAGUCACACGAUGAGGAUUUUCAAGAACAAGAGUAAAAAUCAUUAGCCAAUGUGAAUCAAAGGGUGCUUUCACCGCUUGUGAUGAUAUGUGAAGCUCUAUUUCUUCUUAACUAACAUCGUCGUUGCUUGUACGAGUAGUUAAAUCAAGUUUAGCUGUUGAGAAGGAUCGAGACCCAACACCAAGUGAGAUACAUUUGUACGUCCAUACACAUGAGCACGAUGGAAAAUUUUUUCUUGAUGAGAAAGCUCGAAUCGUGAAUGAGAAGAUCUCAAUACCAAGGAUAGAACUGUGGAUAAUCAGAAUAAGCCUGCAAAUAGGAAGAAAACAUGAACUUGGAAGGAAAGAUAUCAAGAAAUAUUAUGGGAACAAACAUAAACUCGGUCUGAUAUUGAUCAAUGUAAAACAUAUUAUGAAGCUGCAUGAGGGAAAAAGAAGAGAAGAUUAUAUGGUCUUGGAUCUCAAGUAAAAUGCUACUACGAGCCGAAUCUUCGUGGCUCUUCUGGAUCAGAUGCUUCAUCAUCAAUACCACCUUCGAGUUCUCAAUCAGCAUCAAUAGGGAAUCUGGAUGAGUUAGUGAUGUGUUUGAUUCCUGCACUAACAGAGUGCAUAGUUAUUGUUGGUGUUAGAGAUGAUUCAAACUUAAUUGUAAUAGCUAUAUGCAUUUUGAUAUCAUUUUGGACCUU